UGGGCCUCGCCUAGCGAGCAUGACAGCUCAUGAACAAACUUUUGCUCCUUCAAGAUUAACGUUUUGACUGAUGAAUAGACCCCAUUUGAACAUGUUGGAAGUAUCUCAAGCCAUUCCCUUGUGUUGACUGAUCACCCAAAUAGGACCCACAAAGUGUCUUGGAUGAUAUUCAAGCUUCUUGGAUCUAAUUCCGAUUGACAUGAUGAAAUGCAAUAUGAA
rnacentral:lncRNA from 1 species